UACGGAGGGUGCAAGCGUUGUCCGGAUUUAUUGGGUUUAAAGGGUGCGUAGGCGCCCGUUAAGUCCGUGGUGAAAGCCAACAGCUCAACUGUUGAACUGCCAUGGAUACUGACGGGCUUGAGUACAGACGAGGUAGGCGGAAUGGAUGGUGUAGCGGUGAAAUGCAUAGAUACCAUCCAGAACACCGAUUGCGUAGGCAGCUUACUAGGCUGUAACUGACGCUGAGGCACGAAAGCGUGGGGAGCGAACA
rnacentral:rRNA from 1 species